CCCUUAAUUCAUUUGGACAUUGGAAGAAUGUUUCUGGUAUGUUUUCUAAAGAGAAAUUACGGUUUAGUAACAAGAUCUGGAGUUUUGGACAUACCAGAUUUUUGGGAAGCUUGCUAAUAUAAUUCCUCAUUAGUGAGAUUGCAAGGUAGCCUUUAUGUAAUUUACGUGGCAAAUCCUCUAAACCACAGCCGGCUUUCACAAAAAACUCAUCUUCAGAUUGCACAAUUUGAAUGGCUGCAUCCCGGACAACAUCAUGCAUCCUUACACAUCUAUCUUCUUCACUAUCCAAAAGCAAGCAAGAAUAUUUAAGAUGCUUGAUAACGGAAUCAGCUUGCUCUCUUGCCUCCAUGAGUGUUUCGGCAUCUCGAAACAAUCUUGUCCUGAUCCCAUACCUGAACAAGUCUUCUAUAGGGAUGUCAUAGUCUUCUGGGAAUAAGCAACAGAGCAAGAAGUAUGACCUGUAGUCCUCAUCUUCCAAGUAAUCAUAGCUUAAUUUUAUACAUUUAGAUGCUUCUCCCUUAUCAUCAGGGUUGGCAGUUUGCGACUUCUCUAGUCGCUGAGCUGCUCUCCUCCAAUCCACCAAGUCUUUGUCUCCGAGUGCCCUUGCAACUGUUAUCAAUGCAAUCGGUAAGCCCCUACAUUCUCCGGCUACCUUCUUUGCCACACCCUCGAAAGUGGGGGAUUCAAAAUACCUUCUUGCUUUUCUCACAAACAAGACCCAAGAAUCUUGUUCUGAGAGAACGUUGAGGAUGAUCUUUCUUUGGCACUCCAUGGCAUGACAAACAUUCCUUAUCCUUGUGGUGAGUAGGAUUUUGGAAUUGCAAUUUUGAAGUUCCUUGUAGCUUGGAAUUCCUAUUCUUGAUAAUUCUGUUCUCUCCCAAAUGUCGUCCAGGAUUAUAAGAAUCCUUUGUCUUCUCCUUAUCUCCUUACUCAAUCUAGCUGCUCUUCCAAUUUCUGUAUCCUCCUCAAAUUUGAAGCUCAAUAGUUCUGACAAUGUGCCUUGAAUUUUUGCCAAGUCAGGCGUUUGGGAUAGGACACCCAUAAUCACAUGAUCAAAAAUUCCACUUUUCCGGGCAUGUGCGCCAACAUGUUCCACCAAGGUUGUCUUGCCCACACCUCCCAUGCCGUAGACACCAACAGCAGUGACCUCGUCAUCUUUAAGGGCCUUCAUAACCUCAUCCAUGGCUAUUCUUGUUGCUUCAAAUGCUUGGAAAUCUCUAGUGGACUCAAUUGCAUCAGGUACAAUUUUACUGCUGAGAAGUUUCACAAUGGCUUCGGUAAGUGCUCUCUCAGUUCUACAAGGAUGAAUUACGGAUUAGAAUUUAGAAAUAAUCUUUGGGUAAAAUAUAUAUCUGAAAUUAAAGGGGCAAUGCUUACUUAUGAUCAGUUGUAUUCCACCCAGAGAUAUUGGCUACUUUGUUCAAGGCAGCUUUCCACUCCUUCACCUUUUCCAUUCUGUGCUGCCCAGAGGUUUCAUGCUUAUAGAAAGCUUCUUUGAAACUUCCCUUCUUCUGAUAUCGAACAUCAGUAGGAUCAACAUGAUAAAAAAGUGGCAAAAUUCUGUUGUCUUCCAUGGACAGACAAAUCUCUCUAAGUUCCUCCAAACACCAAGCAGAAGAAGCGUAAUUUUGGGAGAGAACAACAAUUGCAUACCUUGACCCUUUAAUUGCUGCUAUGAGAGUGGGAGAAAUGGAAUCUCCGACUACAAGAUCUGGAUCAUCCAUGAAUGCUUUAAUGCCUCCCCGAUUGAGUCCAUCGUAUAUGUCGACUGUGAUCCCCUUGCGAGUGUCAGAACCCCUGAAACUCAAAAAAACAUCAUACUUCCAUUCAACAGGUGAUGAUGAAGAAGGAAGAGAUGCAGAAGCAUCCAUGUCCACCAAUACUUGAUUAUCCUGGGAAUUUUCGACCAUGUAACUGAACCGACGCUUCACUUGAGUCCAUAUCCACUUAAUAAUGGCUAUGCAACCGAUCCUCGCCUCCGCCAUGGCUUCGAAUUCUGGAAAACAGUAUGAAAUUAAGAACCUUCCUUGAGACAGCAACAAGGGGAAAGAACAAGGUCUCUCAGAGUACAGGCAGGGAAAAGGAAACCGCAAAAGCCAUAUGAAAAACCAAUGAAACGGAUGAACUGAAGACAAAAUGGAAUCUGAAGUAUGAACUGAACAUCAUGAAGUCAGUCUGAUAGAGUUUAGACGUCUAACUAGUGAGCUGUGGUGGUUAUUUGACAACCAGAGUGCUUGGCAAUUGGCAUGGGCCCUUUUACUUCUCAAGUCCGACCCGGAUGGCGCAAUUCUUAACCCGACCCGGACCCAAGAAACAGGGCAAAACAGAGAAGCGCCACUACCGCAGCUGAGACAGAAACAGAGAAUGGCCACCACAGCUAUCAACUUGGGCCUCGUAAAGCCUUCACCUUUCUCUGUUCCCAAGUCACAAUCCCCUUCAAAGCUCAGGGUUUUCACUCUCCGGUGCUCCUCCGCCACCGCCAAUGCCGUCUCAGGUAUACCCACUUUUGGUACUCUGCUUUUAUUGGUCUAUCUAGCACUCGUAAAGAUUCAAUUUUUAUAUGAUGGUGGUUUCCAAUUUACUGUGAGGUUAAUUUAUUGGUGAUUAGAGUGACGAGAAAACCGAUUGGCUGCCAUGCAAAAUUGAUGUUGGUUUUGUUUUUUUUGGGCUCAGUGCCUUCUUAUUUAUUCAGCUGCAGUCUUAUAUUCUCAUGUAUAUAUCCUGCAGUGUUAUAUUUACAAUAAGACUUACAGAUGUCUGAAGAAGAAGAAACUGUUUGUAACAAUUUUGAGAAUAGUACUUUAACAUCUUUCUCGCGUCACAGUCUGUAGCCAUACACUUGCAAAGUUACUUAUCCAUUGUAUCGUAAUUGAGUUUGUUUCAAUCAAUAUGGUUCAUACAUUUUUGUGUUAUGGAGUUCAGUUUUUGAUUAAUCUACAUCACAAAAAGAUCACAUAAGAUUUGGCAUCUUUAUUUUGAUCAUCUUCAUGUAAAUGGAAUUGUUUUUCUUUCAAGGAUGAAUUUGAAAAGCAGUCUUUCAUAGUUUCCAUAGAAAGACUCAUUGUAUUCAUCUUCAUCCUUCAUAGCAUCCUCGAUAGUUUCUUUUGACUUACAAGCUUGGUUUUUAGUCACAUCCCUUUUCAUUACCAACUUCUGUGCUUAUCUGUUUUAACCAGAUAGUAGGAAUGGUAUAUGUUUUUGGGUUUUGGCCAUAUAUGCCUUCACCUCAUGCCUAACCUCACUGCUCUUCUCCCCUUGCACACAAACUUCAACCUGCUCCUCCAUGUACUUGGGCAUUCUGAGACCUUACAAUCUUCGGGAGAACUUACAAUCUCAAACAACUAUGCGAAUAAGUAAAUGCAUAUUAUGAACGCUCAUAUCAAAAUCGAGAAAUUUACACUAGGAAUAUCAAUUACAUCUGUUUUUUCUUGUUAUCAAAUCAACAAUGGAUAAAGAUGCACGUCUGAAAGAUGCAGAGCCACGAAGAAGAUACAAAGAGACAAUGAAAAGUUAUAAAUUUAUUAUCCACAAGAGUGUUAUACAACUUCACAAUCAAAUGCGGGAUAUUCUUCUGGGCCACGGAAGGUCUCUAUGCGUUUUAUUGAUUGCAAUUAGUCCCCUUAGACUAAUCCGCGCCGAGAGAUCUUGUCAGAACGCUUCCUCGCCUCUGGCCACCAAGAAUAAAUUGGGAUUUAACUCUAAUUAGCUUCAGCUGGAAUUUGAAUGUUUCCACACCUAGGCUCUUAUCAACUCGGCCUCCUGUGGUGAUUAAUCAAUUCAAGAUAUAUAUAUAAGUAUAUAAGACGGAAAUGCAAUGCAUAUCCAAAGUCUCAAAUUCUUGUUAACAAGACAUCCUUCAAUCUAUUUGGAAAAGGAAACAAAUUAGCUGGGAGCAGAAAUCUAUAAGUAAAGGUAAACUAUAAUGCAACAGCAAAGGAAAUAACUUAAAAUACAAUAUAAAUUGCUUAAUAUACAGUGUGGUGCAAAUCAGAAGAACCCUGUGCUCAAAUUUUCUUCAAACUGUAUCUAACUUUUUUUUCAUUUAAUUUGUAGUUUGUUAAGGAGAGAUAUUAAACGCAUUUUGUGCUCAAAACAUUUAACAUUUUGUAUUUGUUUACUGUUUAUUGGGUGAGCAAUCGGACUACCACAUUAAUUCAUACGAAAAAUCACGUAAAGUAUUUGACACACUAACAUACCAUAUGAAUUGGACUUGUUUCCUGCUGUGGAAGUCAGAUGAAGAGGCUGAAAACUUGGGGCAGCUACUCACAAAGAACUCUUCCAAUUCAGGACACACAAUAUCAAAAGUAUCACUUUCAUAGUACAACAUUGGAAGUACCUCCAAAUGUAAUCGCUUCAAUUUUGGAAGGACGGUCUUCUUGUUGCUUGCUUCAACUAUCCUUUCCAACAGAGGGCAAUUCUUGAAUUUUAAGGAAUUCAGUUGGGAAAGACACUGAGCAACAUCAUAGGUGAAGAGACUUCCAUCUGACUUGCACCACUCUAUGGACAAACUUUGAAGAUUCUGGAACAUUGCAGGUGGGAGUCGAGAAGGUCCAUCACAUAUGCUAACUGUGGACAAUGCUAUCUUUCUCAGUCUCCAUUGUUCCCAUGGAAACCAACAACCCUUCAGAGACAUGUUCUCCAAUGAAGGACACUCAAUAUCAAAAGUAGCACUUUUGUAUAACAUUGGAAGUUCCGUCAAACUUAAUUGCUCCAACUUUGGAAGGAUUAUCUUCUUGUUGCUUGCUUCAACUAUCCUUUCCAACAAGGGGCAUACUGCUAAUUCUAAGGAAUUCAACUGAAAAAGACACUGAGCAACAUCAGAGGUGAAGAGACUUCCCUCCAACUUGCAUUUGGUAAUGGACAAACUUUGAAGAUUCUGGAGCAUCGCAGGCGGAGCAGGUCCCUCACAUAUGCUUACUGUUGCUAGAGCAAACAAUUCUAUCUUUUUCAACUUUAAUUGUUGCAACACAAGCAAGGCUUCAUACCCAAACAUAUAUUCACUCCCGUCCGUCUGACAAACAAUUAAUACUUCCAAAUUUGGUAGUCUAUGUAACAAUGUUGACGGUAAAAGUAUAUUCCACCAGUUGUAACAAUAUUCUACCUUCAAUACCUUCAACUUGAAUAGAGACCCACAUGGUAGAAAUUGAACGGCACGUAACUCUGCACAAUCCAGUCCCUCCAUAUACAACUCUUCCAAAUUCUCGAACACAGGCUUUCUUGGAACCCAUGUUAUUGCAGGAUCCACCUCCGUGAUGUCUCGACUGCUGUAACCCACUAUAUGCAGAUGCUUCAGUCUCUGUAGCCUCCCAUGCUCAGAUUCCACAAAUAUGUCGAUUAACCUGUGGCACCAAGAGUCGGAAAAUGUCUCUGCUUUCUUCAUUAUCUCGUCACGAAACCACUCCGGUAAGUGACUGAUCAUGACAUCCAAGAGUAUUGAGAUAUGACGAUGUCGAUCAUAUAACUUCGUCUUGUAUGGCUCGUAUAAACCACCGAUACAUAUAUCAAACUCAACCAAAUUCAUUUUCUGCUCAACAUAUUUAGGGAUAUGUUCAACACCCCUGAUAGUAACCUUCAAAACUCUUAAUUUUGACAAGCUAGUUACCUCGUCAAAGCUAGCAUUAGUAAAGGUAUCAUUGACUUCUCCUUCUUCUCCCUCAGCGUUAAGCUCCAAGCACUCCCACUCCCAAAAUCCUUGCAUAGUUACCUCGUCAAAGCUAGCAUUAGUAAAGGUAUCAUUAACUUCUCCUUCUUCUCCCUCAGCGUUAGGCUCCAAGCGCUCCCACUCCCAAAAUCCUUGCAUAUACAGUUCUUCUAAAUUAUGCAACUUUGAUAACAGUUUGGAGGGAAUUCUAGAAAUAUGUUCACCAGUAAUAUCCAACAUCCUCAGAUUGGUCAAACCUCCUAUUUCUACCGACAACUCAUACAGACGUGAAUUUCUCAUACUCAGCAUCUCAAGCUUUUUAAGUUUUCCCAGUAUGGAAGUGUCAAUGCUUAGAUGGUCACAAUUAUCUAAAUACAAAGCUGUGAGGUUGGUUAGGAGACCUAAUGAUUUGGGCAGUAAUGAAAGGCUAGUAGUCCAGCUAAGAUCUAAUACCCUUAAUUCAUUUGGACAUUGGAAGAAUGUUUCUGGUAUAUGUUCUAAAAAGAUAUUAUGGUUUAGUAACAAAAUCUGGAGUUUUGGACAUACCAGAUUUUUGGGAAGCUCCCUGAUAUAAUUCCUCAUUAGUGAGAUUGCAAGGUAGCCUUUAUGUAAAUUACGUGGCCAAUCCUCUAAACGACAGCCGGCUUUCACAAAAAACUCAUCUUCAGAUAGCACAAUUUGAAUGGCUGCAUCCCGGACAACUUCAUGCAUCCUUACAAAUCCAUCUGUUUUACUAUCCAAA
rnacentral:lncRNA from 1 species